rnacentral:tRNA from 1 species
GUAGACGCUACGGACUUAAUUUUUGAGCCUUGGUAGAGAAAUCUACUAAGUGACUGUUUUCACAUUCAGGGAAACCUAAGGUUUAAGAUAUGAGGUAAUCCUGAGCCAAAUUUUAGUUAUGAAAUAGGUGCAGAGACUCGAAGGAAACUAUCCUAACGAAACAUUUUCUCUAUUUUUUAUUAUGAGUAUUAGUUAAAUAUAAAAUACAAAAUAUGUUCGAAAUAAUAAAAACAUUUGAAUACUAAAUAUGAAUGUUAGUUUUUAAACAACUUCUAAUAGACGAGGAUAAAGAUAGAGUCCUUUUUUACAAUCUAUAUAAUUUUUACUUAAUAAAUAAUUGUAAAAAGAAAAUCCGUUGGCUUUAAUAGACCUUGAGGGUUCAAGUCCCUCUACCCCCA